GUGAAAAGUGGGAGGGAUCAUGGAUAGUGAAAGUGAAUCUAUCUUCACUUUCAAUCAUGUUCCUCUCUCUGUUUGUUCCUUUGUUUUAGGGUGAUUGAUUCAUUAAUGGCUGCUAUGCCAUAGUCAAAGAAGCCGACUAUGCAACGCAAUGGCAAACGUCACAUGACACGCCCACUCCACUUGACUGUCACUACUCUCAUGCGGUGCCAGUUGCAGAUGCUGCUUCUUUCUUCUAUAAAUUCAUCCAAUACCAAGCCCCAAGGGAACACAACAAUACAUUAUCACCCACUUCAAUUCAGUUCAAUUCGAUUCAAUUCUCUCUAACUCACUUACUUGUUAACCGCACCAAUGGCUCAGCAAUUGGAUCCCAGUAAUCCUCUACUCACUCCAUACAAGAGGGGUAACUUCAAUCUCUCCCACAGAGUUGUUUUGGCGCCGCUUACCAGACAGAGAUCCUACAACAACGUUCCUCAGCCCCAUGCUAUCCUCUAUUACUCUCAAAGAGCUUCCCAAGGAGGUUUCCUCAUCACUGAAGCCACCGGUGCCUCCGACACCGCUCAAGGCUAUCCAGACACGCCUGGCAUUUGGACAAAGGAACAAGUUGAAGCGUGGAAACCAAUUGUGGAUGCUGUUCAUGCCAAAGGUGCUACAUUCUUCUGUCAGAUUUGGCAUGUUGGAAGGGCUUCAUCUUCAGUUUAUCAGCCAAACGGGCAAGCACCAGUAUCUUCUACAGACAAGCCACUUACACCAACAAUUAGAGCUAAUGGCGUUGAUGUAGCAGAUUUCACGCAACCAAGGCGGCUAAGGACAGAUGAAAUUCCUCAAAUUGUCAAUGAUUUCAAACUUGCCGCAAGGAAUGCUAUUGAAGCUGGUUUUGAUGGAAUUGAGAUCCAUGGAGCUCAUGGCUACCUGCUUGAGCAAUUUAUGAAAGAUAAAGUGAACGACCGAACUGAUGAAUAUGGUGGUUCCCUUGAGAACCGCUGUCGAUUUCCUUUAGAGAUUGUUGAAGCUGUUGCAAAUGAGAUAGGGGCAGAAAGAGUUGGAAUUAGAUUAUCACCUUUUGGAGAGCAUGGAGAAUGUGUUGACUCAAAUCCCAAAGAGUUGGCACUUUAUAUGGUUAAUGCGCUAAAUAAAUACAGUGUUUUGUACUGUCACAUGGUAGAACCAAGAAUUAAAAAUAAUGCAGAACAGGUUGAAAGCUCUCAUAGCCUGGUACCAAUGAGAAAAGCCUUCAAGGGCACUUUUAUAGUUUCUGGAGGCUAUAUUCGACAAGAAGGGAUCAAUGCUAUAGCUGAAAACAGGGCAGAUCUUAUUGCUUAUGGUCGUUGGUUCUUAGCUAAUCCAGAUUUACCAAAGAGAUUCGCGCUUGAUGCUCCUCUCAACAAGUAUAAUCGGGAGACUUUCUACACUUCUGAUCCGGUUAUUGGUUACACUGACUAUCCAUUUCUUGAAUGAAGAAACCAAUGCUGUUGCAUACAAGGGUGGAACCUCUUGAUUUAAUAAGCUAUUCUUCACUUGCACAUCCCUUUCUUGCAAUUUGGUUGGUCAUUGUACUAGGAGUUAUGAUCCUUGAAUUUUAAUUAAUAAUGGAAGCAGAUCGCAUGUAAAACUAUGAUUUGUGUGUGAUAAUGACACUGAAUGCUAAUGGGAAGUAUUGGGCUAAA